CGGGACCGCACAAGCGGUGGAUGAUGUGGAUUAAUUCGAUGCAACGCGAAAACCUUACCUACCCUUGACAUGUCUGGAACCUUGCUGAGAGGCGAGGGUGCCUUCGGGAGCCAGAACACAGGUGCUGCAUGGCUGUCGUCAGCUCGUGUCGUGAGAUGUUGGGUUAAGUCCCGCAACGAGCGCAACCCUUGUCACUAGUUGCCAUCAUUUAGUUGGGCACUCUAGUGAGACUGCCGGUGACAAACCGGAGGAAGGUGGGGAUGACGUCAAGUCCUCAUGGCCCUUAUGGGUAGGGCUUCACACGUCAUACAAUGGUCGGUACAGAGGGUUGCCAAGCCGCGAGGCGGAGCCAAUCCCACAAAGCCGAUCGUAGUCCGGAUUGUUCUCUGCAACUCGAGAGCAUGAAGUCGGAAUCGCUAGUAAUCGCAGGUCAGCAUACUGCGGUGAAUACGUUCCCGGGUCUU
rnacentral:rRNA from 1 species